rnacentral:lncRNA from 1 species
UCGCCAUUCGACCUUCCACGCGCUUCCGGCCUUUAAAACCUGAAAAUGUUAAAUAUGGGAUGAGCAUACAGGGUACACUCAGUGUGGAAACAUGCAAUAAUUGUCCAUGUUAAUAAAAUGGUAACACAUAUUGUCAUAACGUAACAUAAAUUUCCAUACGCACUGUGGCAACUCCAAGGACUUUAAUGUCCCGGACCCUAUAUGUGGGCCCCUGGCGACAAUAUAAUGGUUGCAACCCUGUAACAUGAAAUCGCUUUGUGGCAUACCAAGGACGGUGAAGUCCUGGACCAAUUAUACUGGCCCCUAGCGAUAAAUAUUUUUACAACACAUACGGUAAACACAUAAUAUUAAAAUGGACAAAUAUUAACCACGUGCAUGUACUGAAAUAAAUCCCACACCUGGAACUUGAGCUUUGAAAGCUAACUUGAGUAAUUCAAUCAAAAGUAACGUCCUAGUCGCGCCGCAC